GCCUAACACAUGCAAGUCGAGCGGAAACGACACUAACAAUCCUUCGGGUGCGUUAAUGGGCGUCGAGCGGCGGACGGGUGAGUAAUGCCUAGGAAAUUGCCUUGAUGUGGGGGAUAACCAUUGGAAACGAUGGCUAAUACCGCAUAAUGCCUACGGGCCAAAGAGGGGGACCUUCGGGCCUCUCGCGUCAAGAUAUGCCUAGGUGGGAUUAGCUAGUUGGUGAGGUAAUGGCUCACCAAGGCGACGAUCCCUAGCUGGUCUGAGAGGAUGAUCAGCCACACUGGAACUGAGACACGGUCCAGACUCCUACGGGAGGCAGCAGUGGGGAAUAUUGCACAAUGGGCGAAAGCCUGAUGCAGCCAUGCCGCGUGUAUGAAGAAGGCCUUCGGGUUGUAAAGUACUUUCAGUUGUGAGGAAGGGUGUGUAGUUAAUAGCUGCGCAUCUUGACGUUAGCAACAGAAGAAGCACCGGCUAACUCCGUGCCAGCAGCCGCGGUAAUACGGAGGGUGCGAGCGUUAAUCGGAAUUACUGGGCGUAAAGCGCAUGCAGGUGGUUCAUUAAGUCAGAUGUGAAAGCCCGGGGCUCAACCUCGGAACUGCAUUUGAAACUGGUGAACUAGAGUGCUGUAGAGGGGGGUAGAAUUUCAGGUGUAGCGGUGAAAUGCGUAGAGAUCUGAAGGAAUACCAGUGGCGAAGGCGGCCCCCUGGACAGACACUGACACUCAGAU
rnacentral:rRNA from 1 species